rnacentral:tRNA from 1 species
GGCAGACUGGUAAAAAUGCAGAAAAAUUGUUACCGUUCUUAGCACUAGAAAAUACCAUACCCCGUUGUUUCUUGGACUGAAAAUCCGUGUGUCGACAGUUCGAUUCUGUCCCUGGCCACCA